rnacentral:lncRNA from 1 species
UCAGAUGGAAGGUACUUUUUCUUUGUUUCUUACAUUCCAGCCAAAGAACUCCACGUCUUUUUAAUUUCUUAAACUCCUAGGUCUAAGUAAUUGAAAACAACAUGUCCAAAUUUGUGUAUAUCUCCAAAGAUUGUCUUGGUAAUCCGGAAAUCAGAAUUGAGUUUCUUGAUUCUUGAAAUAUGUAAUUUGGAAUUAAGAUGAAAAAGAUCGAAAUCCCCUCUUGACGCCUUAACCUUGGAACGUGGAACGAGUGUUCAAAAAAAAAAAAAAAGACAUGAGGGGCGAAGAGAAGAAGCUAGGAAGCACGGGAAAUGUCUGGUAUUAAGCCUUUG